rnacentral:rRNA from 2 species
AAGCUAAUACCGGAUAGGAUCUUCUCCUUCAUGGGAGAUGAUUGAAAGAUGGUUUCGGCUAUCACUUACAGAUGGGCCCGCGGUGCAUUAUCUAGUUGGUGAGGUAACGGCUCACCAUGGCAACGAUUCAUAGCCCACCUGAGAGGGUGAUCGGCCAGACUGGGACUGACACACGGCCCACACUCCUACUGGAGGCAGCAGUAGGCAAUCUUCCGCAAUGGACGAAAGUCUGACCGACCACCCCCGCGUGAGUGAUCUACGUUUUCUGGUCGUAAAUCUCUGUUGUUAGGCAACAGCAAGUACGAGAGUGCUGCUCGUACCUUGACCGUACCUAGCCAGACCGACCCCGCUACCUACUUGCCAGCAGCCGCGGUAAUACGUAGGUGGCAAGCGUUAUCCGGAAUUAUUGGGCGUAAAGCGCGCGCAGGCGGUUUCUUAAGUCUGAUGUGAAAGCCCACGGCUCAACCGUGGAGGGUCAUUGGAAACUGGGGAACUUGAGUGCAGAAGAGAAAAGCGGAAUUCCACGUGUAGCGGUGAAAUGCGUAGAGAUGUGGAGGAACACCAGUGGCGAAGGCGGCUUUUUGGUACUGUAACUCACGCUGAG